rnacentral:rRNA from 1 species
CCGCGUGAGGGACGAAGCCCUUCGGGGUGUAAACCUCUGUUGUGAGGGACGAAUAAGAUCUGGAGGAAAUGCCAGAUCGAUGACGGUACCUCACGAGAAAGCCCCGGCUAACUACGUGCCAGCAGCCGCGGUAAUACGUAGGGGGCGAGCGUUACCCGGAUUCACUGGGCGUAAAGGGGGCGCAGGCGAUCCAGUAUGUCGGGUGUGAAAUCCCACAGCUCAACUGUGGAAUUGCGCCCGAAACUACUGGGUUUGGGGCUGGUAGAGGGAGACGGAACUGCUGGUGUAGGGGUGAAAUCCGUAGAUAUCAGCAGGAACGCCGGUGGGGAAGCCGGUCUCCUGGGCCAA